CAAUAGCGUAUAUUAAAGUUGUUGCGGUUAAAAAGCUCGUAGUUGGAUUUCUGCCGAGGACGACCGGUCCGCCCUCUGGGUGAGUAUCUGGCUCGGCCUGGGCAUCUUCUUGGAGAACGUAGCUGCACUUGACUGUGUGGUGCGGUAUCCAGGACUUUUACUUUGAGGAAAUUAGAGUGUUUCAAGCAGGCUUACGCCUUGAAUACAUUAGCAUGGAAUAAUAAGAUAGGACCUCGGUUCUAUUUUGUUGGUUUCUAGAGCUGAGGUAAUGAUUAAUAGGGAUAGUUGGGGGCAUUCGUAUUUAACUGUCAGAGGUGAAAUUCUCGGAUUUGUUAAAGACGGACUACUGCGAAAGCAUUUGCCAAGGAUGUUUUCAUUGA
rnacentral:rRNA from 1 species